CUGGGACGCGUGAGAGACAUUCCUCGAGCCAGCCUUUGUCGGGUCCUGGCUCUGGGACGCGUGAGAGACGUUCCACGAGCCAAAUUUUGUCGGGAGGACCCGGCAACGGACAGUCAAAAAGAUCUGACUGUGACUUGACUUUGGAGGUCGCGUUCGGCUGCCUAUUUAAGUAUAGGCACGGACAAGUGUGCUUAGAUGUGUUAGUGUCUGUUGUCUGUAUUCUGUUUCUGUGUUUGGUAUCCCAGAAGCAGCUAAGGUUAAGCUGCAGUUUGGGCCAGGUACUGAAGGUACCAGGCAUCUGUGGAAAUUGGUUAUAGGAUGCUUUGUCUUGGUCUUGUUUGUCUGGAUUGUUUUCUGUGGUAUUGUCCAGUGUCUUUUUGACUUUUUUUCGUGUUUGAAUUUGGACUGACGACCGUGUUUAAAAUCUUGGACCAACGACUGUGUUUGAAAUCAUGAAACUGUUUGCUUUGUUCGUUGAAGAGUUUUACUUGGUCUCCUUAAUGCUUAGUGAGUAAGAAACUUAAUCUUAUGGACCCCGCUCUAGUGGCGGUGUGUUGGUUGAUAGCCAAAGUUAAUUUUUAAAAUAGUGUUUUAUCUGUGCUUGUGCUCGCAGCACACAGUAGAGGGGAGCGAAAUUAGCUGCGGAGCUGCUGCAGCGAGCAUGGGGACUUCUCAAGUCUCACCCAAUUUUUCUGGCUCUUCAGGAGCUGUUUAAAAGGAAAAGGCUUAAGGUAAAAAGAAACACUAUAGAGAGAUUUCUUAGUGAAUUACUACACCUUGGUUCGCGAUCUCUGGGAAUCUCAUGGUGGACAGCUGAGAUAAGCUGGAAAAGGAUUUAAAUUUUGCUUGGGAGCAAAGAAUCUUAAAGGCGGAGUUUCAGCCGGUAUGACACUUAGUGCAUAACUGCCUAAAAGAUCAAAAAUGCUGUUAACAGGCUAAAAAAAAAAAAAGGGACAGGCUGCAUUAGAAAUGCUACAGGAAGAAUAAUCUAAAAAGGCUGAGAGCUAGGUGGGGCUAUAAGGAAAACAAGAACAGGAAAGGAAUUUUUGACAUUUGCUCACAGUAGGAGAGCACUCAUUUAGAGAAGUUCUUUAAGGAAGCCUGCCUUAUCUGCUGUCUUUAUUCCAAGGGAGGAGUCAGUCUCCAGCACUAAAUUACUUGGAGGUGGCCAAGCUCAGGAUUAAUGUUUUCUUUUCCUUGGGCCCUUUAAACCCAGUGAGACAGUUUGGUAAAGGGCUACUACUGAGGUCCUGAUAGCCCCAGGUGAACUGGUUACGAUUCUUCUGUCAGCCACCUGGCAUCUAGCAACCAGGUUCUAACCAUCUCUCCAUCCUUUUGUUAUUAGUUGUUACUAAAAGCCUAGUGUCAUUUGAAGGCUGGUUCUCUUGAGAGGCAAAGCCACGGAGCUGACACUGAAGAGAGAUAAAUGCUGUUUGCCCUCUUCACAAGAUUCUCUUGUUUUCUCACCAUCCCAUUUGAGAUGCUUGUUAGUAACUGUUACAGGUCUUCUUUACCACUGAUGAAAGACGGAAUCCUACUGGAGACCAGAAAAAAAUGUUCCAGACACGGAUAGAAGGCCCUCACUUCUGCCUGCUCUCUUCAGACGCCUGAAGGCUUUCGCCCGAUUCUCGGUACCAGGUCGGUGCUGGCGCCGACACCCUUGCUCAUGAGAAAAUUGCUCUCCAAAAUGGCUUGCGUGGGCUGAAAUGGCUGGGUGAGGCCAUGUGUAUGCAUAUCUACAGACUGUGUAUGUGGAGCUUAAGACCUGUCUCAGUGCACCAGUACCUGAUGCUGGGAGAUGUGUGACUUUGUCUUGAUCUGCCUGGAACACAUCACUCCUGCCAGCCGGGCACUAACAAUUAUCACCCAAUCCAGGACUUAAACUGUGAUAGAGUGGCUGAUGUUCUGCCUUUGAAUAGAGUGUCCCAAAAGAUGGGACCACUGGUCAGCUGCCAUGGACUAGAUUCUCCACCGGUUGGGGACAAUCUGGUCACCUUGCUGCCCAAUCCGGACCUGGAGCCACCACAGCACGAGUGUCAAGUACUGGCAGAAGCCCAUGGGUGGAGGAAAGACCUCUGCGACUGGCUGAUUGACCCCUGCUGAAAGCCGAGGACCUUGUCCACAGAUGGGAACAGUUCUCUUCAUGAAUGAAGGUCAGAGACAAGUGGGUGCUGCCAUGGUGGACAACACAAUGUCAUCUGGGAUGGCUGAACCUCUACCCCCCCAGCACAUCAGCACUUCAGAUGCUUUUGCCAUCUCUUGGAUGCCCUGGUGAAGCCAACAACUGAAGAUAGAAGCUUUCCUCACCAAAUGAGAGACGGCCUCUGCAAUCAUCAAGAAGAUACUGGAAGAAAUCUUCCCCCGAUUUGGAAUGCCCAAGGUAAUCUGGUCAGACAAAGGCCCUACUUUCGUUGCCAAGGUAAGCCAGGGUGUGGCCAAGUAUUUAGAGGUCAAUUGGAAAUUACAUUGUAUCUACAGACCUCAAAGUUCAGGAUAGGUAGAGUAAAUAAAUAAAAUUUUAAGAGAGACCUUGACCAAAUUAAAUUAACCAUGGAGACUGGCGCAGACUGGGUGACACUCCUUCCCUCUUGCUCUCUUCAGAGCAAGAAAUACCCCUUCCAGAUUCAGCCUUAACCCCUUUGAGAUCUUAUAUGGGGCCUCAGCUCCCCUGACUGUAUUAGAUGAUGUUACUGAACCAACAUGUCAUAGUGCCAUAGUAAUAAUGAUUUGUGUGCCGCUAAAAGACCUACAGGUGAUACAGAAAGAAAUCUGCUCACAGCUGACAGCAGCCUAUGCCCCGGAGACCCCUGAGACAUCCCAUCAGUUCCAGGUCGGAGAUUGCAGCUACACUGAGCCCAGACACUCGAGCCUCGCUGGAAAGGACCGUACCUGGUGCUGCUGACCACCCUGAGAGCUGUCAAUUCUCAGCCCUCACCAGCCGCGUACUAGCUGUUGGGGCUGAGAGCUGGGACCUAGAGGGAAAUUCAGUCAUGUUUGUCCUGGGUUCUAUCAAGAUAGGUGUGGGAUAGUCUUGAUUUCCAUUACAAAUGAUGUAACAUUGCAUAUGUUAGUACUCUUAACACUUCUUGGGACUGUGCCUCAGGGAUCACAAUCUGUAUAAGCUUAGAAGUUCUAAAAGCUAGUCAUGACCUUGGUGUAUAGGCUUGGAUAGUGUCCAGGUUAGAAUCCUCAUGUUAAGACAACAAUACCAAGCUGUUAUGCUAGAUGAAGCUGAGUUCUCCAUGAAGUUCUAGGAUUAGAACUAUUAACAAAAAAAAGAAGUGGGGAAUGUAGAACUAGAGUUUCAUAAAGGUUACUCAUUGUCAGAGCCUGAAUGUGCAGAACUAGAGUUUCAUAAAGGUUGCUCAUUGUCAGAGUCUGGAUGUGCAGGGCCGGACGUGCCUGAGGGAGAGCCAGAGAUAGGACUUGCCAAACCAGCUAUCAGCCCCAAGGACACUGACCAUCCAUAGCCACCCCCUCCCCUUCCUUCACCCCCCUGAGUGAGAUGAGCCACCCUACCUGCCUGCCGAGCUGCUAGAUAACACAUACUCCUUGCUGAUGUAAUUUCGAGCCGAAAGUACUGUGCACCAUUUGAAUUGACCAAUCAUGUGUAACCGCGCGAAUGCCCCUUACCUCCCCUAUAAAAACCCCCGAGUUUGGAAGCUCGGGGUCGAUUCCUCUGUCUCCUGUGUGAGAUACGUGUCGACCCGGGAUCCCGCUAAGACCCGGGAUCUCGUUAAUAAAGCUACCUCUUGCUGUUACAUCAAGAAUGGCUCCUCGUGAUUCCUGGGGGCACCCCACCCUGCGAUCGGAGCGAGAGACGCGGCUCCCCGUUUUGGGGGUACGCUCUUUCAGUAUCUAGGCUUGUUCUGUUCUUUAGUUAUUGUGAAUAGGUGCAGCCCUGAAAUAAAUGCACAAUGUCUCUGCAGUAUAUUGAUUUAUAGUUCUCUGGGGAUAUAUUCCCGGGUUAUAUGAUAGUUCUGGCUUCAGGUUUUUGUUUUGAAACUCUGUCCUGAUUUCCAUAGGAGCUGCAUUUCCUGACAGUUUAAAAGAUUCCUUU